rnacentral:rRNA from 1 species
UACGUAGGGGGGCAAGCGUUGUCCGGAAUCAUUGGGCGUAAAGAGCGUGUAGGUGGCUCGGUAAGUCCGCUGUGAAAGUCCAGGGCUCAACCCUGGAAAGCCGGUGGAAACUGUCGAGCUCGAGUCCGGAAGAGGCGAGUGGAAUCCUGGUGUAGCGGUGAAAUGCGCAGAUAUCAGGAGGAACACCAUGGCGAAGGCAGCUCGCUGGGACGGUACUGACACUGAGACGCGAAGCG